rnacentral:rRNA from 1 species
AUUGAACGCUGGCGGCAUGCUUUACACAUGCAAGUCGAACGGUAACAGGUUAAGCUGACGAGUGGCGAACGGGUGAGUAAUGCAUCGGAACGUGCCCGGUCGUGGGGGAUAACGCAGCGAAAGCUGCGCUAAUACCGCAUACGAUCUGAGGAUGAAAGCGGGGGACCGUAAGGCCUCGCGCGAUCGGAGCGGCCGAUGUCAGAUUAGGUAGUUGGUGGGGUAAAGGCUCACCAAGCCAACGAUCUGUAGCUGGUCUGAGAGGACGACCAGCCAAACUGGGACGGAGACACGGCCCAGACUCCUACGGGAGGCAGCAGUGGGGAAUUUUGGAAAAUGGGCGAAAGCCUGAUCCAGCAAUGCCGCGUGCAGGAAGAAGGCCUUCGGGUUGUAAACUGCUUUUGUACGGAGCGAAAAGGCCUCCUCUAAUACAGGGGGCUCAUGACGGUACCGUAAGAAUAAGCACCGGCUAACUACGUGCCAGCAGCCGCCGUAA